GCCGAGAUAGCUCAGUCGGUAGAGCAGAGGACUGAAAAUCCUC
rnacentral:tRNA from 3 species